rnacentral:tmRNA from 1 species
GGGGCUGAUUCUGGAUUCGACGGGAUUUGCGAAACCCAAGGUGCAUGCCGAGGGGCGGUUGGCCUCGUAAAAAGCCGCAAAAAAAUAGUCGAAAACGACGAAACCUACGCUUUAGCAGCUUAAUAACCUGCUUAGAGCCCUCUCUCCCUAGCCUCCGCUCUUAGGACGGGGAUCAAGAGAGGUCAAACCCAAAAGAGAUCGCGUGGAUGCCCUGCCUGGGGUUGAAGCGUUAAAACGAAUCAGGCUAGUCUGGUAGUGGCGUGUCCGUCCGCAGGUGCCAGGCGAAUGUAAAGACUGACUAAGCAUGUAGUACCGAGGAUGUAGGAAUUUCGGACGCGGGUUCAACUCCCGCCAGCUCCACCA